UGGGUUGUGGCUCAGCGGUAGAGUGCUCGCCUAGCACGUGAGAGGUCCUGGGUUCAAUCCUCAGCACCACAU